UUGCUAUCUGCAAUUUAUAAGAUUCGAACCUGCAGCAGGUCGAGUCGAACGCAGUGAGACAACGGAGCCGUUUACGGCGACGGCCCGAAGGGCGAGCGAAGCGAGUCAUCCUGCACAACCCACCA
rnacentral:sRNA from 1 species